rnacentral:rRNA from 1 species
AACGAACGCUAGCGGUGUGGAUUAGGCAUGCAAGUCGCGCGCGAAAGUCUUCGGACGAGUAAAGCGGCGGAAGGGUGAGUAACACGUAACCAACGUACCCCUCAGACUGGGAUAACCACUGGAAACGGUGGGUAAUACCGGAUGGUCCACUGGUCGGCAUCGACUGGAUGGUAAACGGCGGCGCAAGCGGUUGCUGAGGGAGCGGGUUGCGGCCUAUCAGCUAGUUGGUGGGGUAAUGGCCCACCAAGGCUAUGACGGGUAACAGGUCUGAGAGGAUGAUCUGUCACACUGGGACUGAGACACUGCCCAGACUCUUACGGGAGGCUGCAGUCGAGAAUCUUCCACAAUGGGCGAAAGCCUGAUGGAGCGACACCGCGUGCAGGAUGAAGGCCUUCGGGUUGUAAACUGCUGUCACGCUAUAGGAACCAGCUUGGGUGAACAGUCCAAGCCUUGACUAAAGCGAAAGGAAGCGCCGGCUAACUCUGUG